AGCACACAAAGGUUUGACGUGUUUUCCUUUUAUUGUAUGAAAGUCUCUUAUAAAAGGGCCUAAAUCUAACUUCAAUCAUGCAUGUUCAAAUUAUUCAAACUAAAAAUCAUGUAAGCUCAAGGAGAAAGAUGCAAGUUGAUGAGGUGUAUGAGGUUACGAUAGCCUCUUUGAUAUGAUCUUCGCCAAGCCUUUGAGUGUGCGAAAGAGAAGACCAUCUUCAAUCCAUUCUACGAUCCUAGGUUUUGUAUCUUGCUCCUAACGGUUUUGAUGAGGAAUCAUCUCCUAAUCAAUGUACCUUUUGGAGGAUGGAUCAGAGUCGAGCCUAAUAAAUUUUGAAUUGAUUUUAAAUGAUUUAUUCAAAGUUUGACACGUAUUAAGGUUUAUGGAUGUUGUUUGGGAGAGAAUAUAUGAAUCUUGAAAGCGAUUUUUGUGCAAGGAAAGCUAUAGAAAACAAUUACAUUCAUGACAUGGACAAGACCGUUCAUUCAUUCAUUCAUUAGGUUUCAAAUAGAUGUCUUGGAUGUUGGAACUUUUGUCUCUCCUUUCUCCACUGCAUAUCUAAAUAUGUUUUGGGAUAGUUGUCUUUGCUUAUUUUACUUUUGUAUUCCAUGAAAUUGUUUUAGGAUUUUUUUUUUUUUAUUAUCAAUCCUUGACACUUGAUUAGAAAUAAAUAGAGAAAAAAAUAUGACUAGGAGGAGGGAGAUUGUGCAGGGAAGGAUGUCAUCGAUGAGAAUAUAAGAGAACAACAAAGCAUUUAUUUAUUCA